rnacentral:rRNA from 1 species
AGGAAUGUGUCCAGAGGUGGGGGACAACCUUGGGAAACUGAGGCUAAUACCGCAUAUGAGCUGAGGCUCAAAGCAGCGAUGCGCCUUUGGAGUAGCCUGCGUCCGAUUAGCUAGUUGGUGGGGUAAAGGCCUACCAAGGCGACGAUCGGUAGCUGGUCUGAGAGGACGACCAGCCACACUGGGACUGAGACACGGCCCAGACUCCUACGGGAGGCAGCAGUGGGGAAUAUUGGACAAUGGGCGCAAGCCUGAUCCAGCAAUGCCGCGUGUGUGAAGAAGGUCUUCGGAUCGUAAAGCACUUUCGACGGGGACGAUGAUGACGGUACCCGUAGAAGAAGCCCCGGCUAACUUCGUGCCAGCAGCCGCGGUAAUACGAAGGGGGCUAGCGUUACUCGGAAUUACUGGGCGUAAAGGGCGCGUAGGCGGCGCUCCAAGUUAGGCGUGAAAGUCCUGGGCUCAACCUGGGAACUGCGCUUAAGACUGGAGUGCUUGAGGAUGGAAGAGGGUCGUGGAAUUCCCAGU